GUGCUUGUGUUGUAGUGGUUAUCACAUCCGCCUAACACGCGGAAGGUCCCAGGUUCGAUCCCUGGCAGGCACA
rnacentral:tRNA from 1 species